GGACUACAAGGGUUUCUAAUCCUGUUUGCUCCCCACGCUUUCGCGUCUCAGCGUCAGUAAUCUUCCAGGUGGCCGCCUUCGCCACAGGUGUUCCUCCCGAUAUCUACGAAUUUCACCUCUACACCGGGAAUUCCGCCACCCCCUCCGAUACUCUAGCCUAGUAGUUUUGAAUGCAGUUCCUCGGUUAAGCCGAGGGAUUUCACACCCAACUUGCUAGGCCGCCUACACGCGCUUUACGCCCAGUAAUUCCGAACAACGCUUGCACCCUCUGUAUUACCGCGGCUGCUGGCAC
rnacentral:rRNA from 1 species